GGCCGCGGGAAUUCGAUUCAGGCCUAACACAUGCAAGUCGAACGGGAUCCCUGGCAGCUUGCUGCCGGGGUGAGAGUGGCGAACGGGUGAGUAAUGCGUGACCGACCUGCCCCAUGCACCGGAAUAGCUCCUGGAAACGGGUGGUAAUGCCGGAUGUUCCACAUGAGCGCAUGCGAGUGUGGGAAAGGCUUUUUGCGGCAUGGGAUGGGGUCGCGUCCUAUCAGCUUGUUGGUGGGGUAACGGCCUACCAAGGCGUUGACGGGUAGCCGGCCUGAGAGGGCGACCGGCCACAUUGGGACUGAGAUACGGCCCAGACUCCUACGGGAGGCAGCAGUGGGGAAUAUUGCACAAUGGGCGCAAGCCUGAUGCAGCGACGCCGCGUGCGGGAUGGAGGCCUUCGGGUUAAAGCCGCUUUGUUCAAGGGCAAGGCACG
rnacentral:rRNA from 1 species